CAGUCGAGCGGACAGAUGGGAGCUUGCUCCCUGAUGUUAGCGGCGGACGGGUGAGUAACACGUGGGUAACCUGCCUGUAAGACUGGGAUAACUCCGGGAAACCGGGGCUAAUACCGGAUGGUUGUCUGAACCGCAUGGUUCAGACAUAAAAGGUGGCUUCGGCUACCACUUACAGAUGGACCCGCGGCGCAUUAGCUAGUUGGUGAGGUAACGGCUCACCAAGGCGACGAUGCGUAGCCGACCUGAGAGGGUGAUCGGCCACACUGGGACUGAGACACGGCCCAGACUCCUACGGGAGGCAGCAGUAGGGAAUCUUCCGCAAUGGACGAAAGUCUGACGGAGCAACGCCGCGUGAGUGAUGAAGGUUUUCGGAUCGUAAAGCUCUGUUGUUAGGGAAGAACAAGUGCCGUUCAAAUAGGGCGGCACCUUGACGGUACCUAACCAGAAAGCCACGGCUAACUACGUGCCAGCAGCCGCGGUAAUACGUAGGUGGCAAGCGUUGUCCGGAAUUAUUGGGCGUAAAGGGCUCGCAGGCGGUUUCUUAAGUCUGAUGUGAAAGCCCCCGGCUCAACCGGGGAGGGUCAUUGGAAACUGGGGAACUUGAGUGCAGAAGAGGAGAGUGGAAUUCCACGUGUAGCGGUGAAAUGCGUAGAGAUGUGGAGGAACACCAGUGGCGAAGGCGACUCUCUGGUCUGUAACUGACGCUGAGGAGCGAAAGCGUGGGGAGCGAACAGGAUUAGAUACGCUGGUAGUCCACGCCGUAAACGAUGAGUGCUAAGUGUUAGGGGGUUUCCGCCCCUUAGUGCUGCAGCUAACGCAUUAAGCACUCCGCCUGGGGAGUAC
rnacentral:rRNA from 1 species